rnacentral:tRNA from 1 species
UUUAAUAUGGCAGAUAAAGUGCAAUGGAAUUAAGAUCCAUAAAUUUAGUUUAUAACUUUUAUUAAAA